ensembl:snRNA predicted gene, 26007
GCAUUGCAUGAAAGAUAGCACUCCCCUUGACAAAGAUGGAUGAGGCCUGGAACCUAACAAUACACAUAAAGUUAAGGCAUUCCCACCUACUUUAUAUCAUCUCACCAACAUGUUUC